AGCUUUGCGCAGUGGCAGUAUCGUAGCCAAUGAGGUUUAUCCGAGGCGCGAUUAUUGCUAAUAGACUACUUUCCUAUAUGAACAGUACUACUAGACAACCAAAUAGUAGAUAAGAGGGGGUUAUCACCU
rnacentral:snRNA from 2 species